rnacentral:rRNA from 1 species
GACGAACGCUGGCGGCGUGCUUAACACAUGCCAGUCGAACGGUGAAGCGCCUUCCUUUUUGGUGGGUGUGGAUGAGUGGCGAACGGGUGAGUAACACGUGAGUAACCUGCCCCCUUCUUCUGGAUAACCGCAUGAAAGUGUGGCUAAUACGGGAUAUUCUGGGUCUGUCGCAUGAUGGGUCUGGGAAAGAUAUUGUUUCGGUGGGGGAUGGGCUCGCGGCCUAUCAGCUUGUUGGUGGGGUGAUGGCCUACCAAGGCGGUGACGGGUAGCCGGCCUGAGAGGGUGGACGGUCACACUGGGACUGAGAGACGGCCAAGACUCCUACGGGAGGCAGCAGGGGGGAAUAGUGCACAAUGGGCGCAAGGCUGAUGCAGCGACGCCGCGUGAGGGAUGGAGGCCGUCGGGUUGUGAACCUCUUUCGCCAGUGAAGCAGGCCUGCCUCGUUUGUGGGUGGGUUGACGGUAGCCGGAUAAGAAGCGCCGGCUAACUACGUG